CUCGGUCUCAAGCCAUCUGCCUGCCUCGGCCUCCCAAAGUGCUUGGAUUACAGGCAUAAACCACUGCACCCUGCCAACUUCAUUCCAGUUCUAAUACCUGAUCCACUUUACAGAUGAAGAAACUGAGGAAUUAAAAGAAACUCAGGAACUAGAGAGUUCUGAAUGGAACUUUACACCAAUAAAAGCCAUUCUGUCCAAGAGGUUACAUGCAAAUGGCAAAAUAUAAUUUGGCUGCCUGUUUGCAAGUGGCAAACAUCAUUCCUAUUAUGUAACAGAACUGGGAAGAGGAUUUUGUUGCCUGGAAAGAGUGAGUAAAGAUUUUUUUUUUAA